rnacentral:lncRNA from 1 species
CAAUUUCGAGUGCAAGUACCACAGUGUCAGCUAAAGAAACACAACUGUGGGUUUUCUGCAGAGCGAAAUGGUUCUGAAAUGUCACUGAAUAGCUCACAAAGGACGCCAAUCUACGACAACAGAGACAUAAGCAUAUAGGAGAAAGGGCCCACACAUCCUCUUUACAAAGGUAUGUUGUUUACAUGCAUGUAAUUUGUGAAACACACAGCUAUUCGAUUCAGGGGUUUCACAGAAGUCUAACCAAAAUCUGUUUGGAAAGCAAGUGGCAAGAUUCUUCCAGAAGUCACAGAAUUUUGGGUGUGGGGAGAUUCUGGUAUGUUUUGCACAUAAAUAGAUGUCCUACUAUAGUGGAUGAUAGCCUUCAAGUUUCCAAGACAUCAAUUACAAUUGCUACUUGGUGAUCAUAUUUCAUUACCACCUCCACGGAAGUUGGUAUACAAGUUUGCAAAUGUGGCCCAAAUGUGUACAUGUCAAUAAUACAGUAGGAACAGGACCUCUGAGAGGGAAAUAUGAAAUGUUGAUUCCUCAAAACUCCUUCCAGUAACGUCCCCAUGGCUCCUCUGACACAUGGCAAAAGUAUGGGACGGUAGACAUGUACGUGAUAAGAGGGCUAACGUGAAUAAGGCUGUGUCUAUCAUCAACUAAAACAGCUCCUCUGUGUUGUUUAGUUUUUCCCUACUUAAAUGCCUAUUUUAAAAAGCAAAAAAUUUAAAUGACUAAUAGACCACUGGCUUUAGUUACCCUGUACAAGAGUCCAAAGAGAAAAUGAAACAACCUGUACCAAGUCCUCCGUUAGGCUCUUAUGUGGACAUUAUGCUCUGCAAGCAGCGACUGGGCAAAUGGCAGUAGACUUGAUCAGGCAACAUCACGGUCAGGUUUGGCACCGCUUUCGGAUUCCAUACAUACACUCCUAAAUCUGCAAGUGGAUGUAUAAACCUUGUUUGUGUUAAAGGAGAACACUAAUCCUACUUUAAAGUAAAAAAGAAAUAAGGAGUUUGGAUGUAAACGACAACUUUGUAUUUACUUUUAAAAAAUAUCUAAAAAUUGUGGCAUAUAAUAAGGAGAAAGAAGCAAUACUUUGAAAAAAACAAAAGGAAGAUCAUGACAUCCUCGGUAAGCAAUGGAGAUAAUUGAAAAAAUUUUGAGUCCGUCUCUUAGAUAAUAUUUUUCUUUCACAAUAAACUUGUUCUUUUUUUCACCUAGGUCACAUAAAGCUUACUGCAGGUCAGGAAAUGUCUUCUGUUUCCAGAGCAGCUCACAGGAGUGAGUCACUUCCUAUGAUUUAUUUUUUCCAUUUCUCUGUUUAUAGGUAGAUAUUUUUCUACUUGGGAUAGAUUUAAUAUUUUUUCUUUUGGUCUAAAAUUAUUCAUAAAGACUUAUCUUAUUUUCAUACAUAAUUCCUUUAAUUUCCUGUCUGAGAUCCACCUGUAGAAUUAUGCUUCCUGCUCUCUAUCUACAUCCUAUUUAAAGAUGCCACUGAAAGCAUAUCAAUAUUUUAUUGUAAGCAAUAGGAAAAUGGGUAAAUAGCACAUUUAUGUGUCUAUGUGUAUGUACUGCUUAUGUAAACAUAUAUAAUGUAUAUAAAUCCAUACACACAAAAAAUUUAGUUUACUCAAGUUAGGAUUAUUAAAAUUGAUCCUGGGAACAAAAUAAUACACCUUCCUAGGCAUUCAUCCCGACUAUAGACACGGAGAAAGGAAGAUUGUGAGAAGGAGACACACACAUUCAGAUGAGCCUUCAGGGAAUUGUAUGAACUUUUGAACCAGAGGCGGAGAGCCAGAGCCCAGCCUGUUCCCACUUUAAUAAACAUUUUUUUUCUUCAAUUAAUUAAGGUUUGGAAAGAAAAAAAACCACAGAAGAGAAGUAAUUUAGCAUGCAGUGCAUACUUUACAGAUGGAUCCUACCUUCGGAUGCUUAUUAAAUCUAUGCAUGAUUGCGCUGGAGAAAAUUAAUUGCAUUGUUUCUCACUAUUCAAAAGGGGGUUGCAAACAGCUCAAAAAUAAAAAGGAAAAUGAAGCAAGGGUGUUGUUGUUGUUGUUUAAAAAAAGACAGCUACAGUAUAAAAGUAACACUUUUAAUAGUCCUAAAACAAGUAAUACCCACAAUUGGCGUUAAGGGUGCAAAAAUUCCUUUAAAUUCUGUUGAUAUUUCAGAAUUACUGUGUAUGCUGCCAGAAUACAUAUAUCUACUUUAAGUUUACACAUAUUCUGGGCUAACAGAAAUUUCCUACUCAGUGGCGUUUGAACUAUUCAAUUAAGUGGUGUGUUUUUGUUCAGAUCCUACUGUGAAGAAAGAUUUACAUGGGCAGCUGGGAGUACACACUGGCACCCAUUCACCGUGUUUUGGUUAGCUGGUAUUCCCUCCAUACCAGUCUUUGGAAAAAGUGAUAAAUUCCUAAUUUGGGUGGGGGGAGAAAAGUAAAAAUAUUGUUAUAAAGUAUUCAGACCAUAGGUGAUUGUUUGCAUUUUUAUCAGCUUUAAUUUUUAAAAAAGCAUAGAAGCUUCAGAAAUUUGAGCCAUUUUUGCCUUUUCUGAAGUCCUGCAAGUAGAAAUUGAACUGUAACCUCUCUCUUACACUGUCCUGAAAAUGACCUUCAUCAAACUUGAAAGGACCACUCUCUGUCUAAGGAGCUAGGAGAGACAUUAAUUUUCCUAACUCACUCUUUUCCAGAUUAAAAAAAAAAAAAAUCCCUGUGUUCCUUCAUUACAGAUGCUCCUUUGGAUGUGAUCCACCCUGUUGUUGAUUUAACUAAACACAUUUCGCUAAGAACUUCUAAACUUACUUUAUUCCACGAUCCAAGUAAAUGGUGGUUUUAUUUUAUUCUUCCAUUCUGAAUCUAUAAAUCAAUCUCUCUGAUCCCCAGUAAACAUGUGUCAUUAUUCUGAAAUAUUUAUCAUGACACAAAUUUUGCUAAGAGUAACAAACUAAGGACAUAUCAUAAAUAAAUGAAUCUGUCCUAGGUACAACAGAGUUUAUAAGGUAUGGAUAAAAUAUAGACGUAUUAACAUCAGGAUUAGCUUAUAUGCUGCCUUUCACAAGCAGAUCUCAAAGAACGACAUAGAUGACCUUAUAAACAGUUACAGAUAUCAUCAUCCCUAGUUAGGAUGGGACAAACAAGAUCAUAUGGUGAGACAGAGCAAAACUUCGAAGACAAGUAUUCAACUUUUGUUCCUUUACCUUUUAAAAUCAGAUCCUACCACCCCAUUCGAACAGCCACUAUUUAAAAGUAGAAUCUUACUAACACUCAAAAACAUCCGGUUCGGUCCAGGAACUACUCAGAAGAGAAAAAUCCACGCUGCUAUGAGAAACUCAGGUCAAAACUGAGCCUGUGCCGUGUGCGGCUAGUGUCUUUCUAAAUGUGACAUAAAAUGCGUAGUAUCUAUUUUACUGGUUAUUAAAGAGCACAGACAGGAAAUACAUGGGGUUGGACCUAUAUAACUUUACCAUUACAAAAGACAGUUGAACUUAGGUACUAAAACAAGGCCAGCUUCAGAAAGCUGAGCAGUUUUACUUAAGCCAAACCACAUGAUAGUUACGAAAAUGCCUGAAUAAAAAAGGUGGGAGGGGCGCCUGGGUGGCGCAGUCGGUUAAGCGUCCGACUUCAGCCAGGUCACAAUCUCGCGGUCCGGGAGUUCGAGCCCCGCGUCGGGCUCUGGGCUGAUGGCUCAGAGCCUGGAGCCUGUUUCCGAUUCUGUGUCUCCCUCUCUCUCUGCCCCUCCCCCGUUCAUGCUCUGUCUCUCUCUGUCCCAAAAAGAAAUAAACGUUGAAAAAAAAAAUUUAAAAAAAAAAAAAAAAAGGUGGGAAAAAUCCAAGAAGGGAGAUUACUCAGUUCAAGGCACCUGAACUUAUUUCCCUGCCUAGAAAGAUCUCUUCCUGUCUGCUGCACUCCAACUUGAGCAGCCACCCCCACAGGGCUAACUGCAGCCGGGACUUGCACAUUUGACCUGUCUCUUUACUCCAGAUUCUCUCAGAUGAUCCAACGUUUACCUUUUAAGGUUCUGUGCAAUUAACACAAUCCCCACCCACCUCAAACAGGGAGUGUUGCAAAUGAAAGUCCUAUAUGUCAUCCCUAAUGACUGGUCAUCUCAAGUUCUGGGACUUCCUCUGUAUAGAACCUGUCACAUUAGGGUACUUUAUAAUCUUCCUGCAAAUUCCAAAAUGAGCACCAGUAAGCUGCCAGAAGCUGCUGGCAAAGCGGUUUUGGUAGCACGAAUGACUCAGGCUCUGCUUGAACCAAUUCACAUUGAGUAUGUGAAAAGGUUAUCAAAAUCAAGACAACCAAAAGCACAAAACGAUUCUGGUAAUGCAGAUGAUUAAAUCUGCUUUAAGGAAUCCACGAUUUUAGAACAAGUUUUGAAUUUUGAGAUACUUAGUGUAAAAAUAAGAAUAGCUAAGGAUACAAUUGUAAAACCCUUAAUUGACUUGAUCUUUAUUUUACAUUUCCUACACACCUUAUAAUGAAUGAGUACACUUUUCUCCUGGAGCAAAGAGCUCACUGAUGACUAGGGAAUUAGAUUCAAGACACUAUACUUUGAUUUAGCAAAUCUCUGUAUUCAUUUAUUACAUGGGAUCCUGUUUUCUCCAAGGAGUUAAACUCCCUCUAUAAGGUAAAGAGCUUAAUCACUCUGGGAUGAGAUAUUUUUUCUAUUUUCCAAUGCAAUUACUCUUUGUCUUAAAUCUAAUUGAAUUCACUUUCCAUGUUAGUGGGGGAAGGGAGGUGGGCAGGAGAAAUGCAGUAUAUGCUAGAAGAUAAAUAGUGUUAAUUGUAGACUUUUGGUAUAUAGAGGAUUUUUUUUUUUAAAGACAAAAAACUGUGACCUGGUAAAAAUAUUAAAAUUUUCAGUGGUAUGGUGGGGGUGAGGAGACUUUGGCCAGACUUUAGGAACUGGAUUUGGGGUAUGGACAACAUCAGGGACAUUGCAUAAGGCCUUUUCAAAUUUAUAAUUUAUAAAGUACCUUGGGAUUUCUCUGGAUAAAAGGCACCAUAUAAAUAUAAACAUAUUCAGGGCACCUGGGUGCCUCAGUCGGUUAAGCUUUGUACUCUUGAUUUUGGCUCAGGUCAUAAUCACGGUUUGUAAGAUCGAGCCCCGCAUUGGGUUCUGACCUGACAGUGUGGAGUCUGCUUGGGAUUCUCUCUCUCUCUCAAAAUAAAUAAAUAAACUUAAAAAAUAAAUAUGAGCAUUUUCACUUCAUGUAGAUGAUCGCAGAUAGUUGAUAUCUCAGCAUAAACAUAUCUCAGUAGUCCAAGGGAUAUAAACUCUUACGUGGAUUUGGUUUUUUCUGCCAUUUUCUCUUCCCUGAGUUGUAGCACACACAAUAGAGCAUGCCUUUGUUGGCUGGCUCUUUUCCCUUUUCUAAAGUUCCUGUCUCUUUCAUUUGUCUUUGUGGUGUCACUGUACUGUCCAGUAUUUGCCUUUGAACUCCCAAGUUAUAUAACUGAAGGAAGUAAACAUUUAUCUUGGAUCUGUCUGGCAUAGUGCUUUCCACCCUCAGUAUGUCUGGUGUCUAAGUCCUCCAGAUACCAUGGAAGCGGGGAGAGAGGGAGGCAGUCACUCUGUGGCACAGUAAGAAACACUGUGAAACAGAGACUGUUAUUAUCUCAUGGUUCUUUGAAGGCUUUUAGGAUCUGGCAUAAUUUGAGAGUCCGAACCACAUAAUCAUAUUUUGUUCAAUUUGACAAACACUUACUGAAUGUCUAAUCUAUGCUGAAACCUGUAAGAUACAUAAAAAUAAUUAAGACACAACCCCUGCCCUCUGGAGCUCACAAUCCAUUGGAAAAGCCAGCACAUGUAAGUACUAUAAUGCAAGGCAAAUGGAAGUAACAGCUAAAAUAGAGGUACUGAUCAAGUAAACCGCAAGACAGGGAGAUGUUGAGUAUGAACUGGGGCAGCUAGAAAGCCAUGUUGAGAAGAAAAGAGUUUAGGCGGAGCCUUGAAGGAUUAGUGGAAUGUGGGUGGCUGGAGAGGUUGGGAAGGGCAUUCCAGGUAGAGGUUGGGAAGGGCAUUCCAGAGAGGUUGGGAAGGGCAUUCCAGUCACAAGACUGGAUUUAGGGAAAUACAAAUAAUUCCAUAAGGCCAGAGGUAAGAGGAAAGGUAGGUUCAGAAACACAACUUGUAUUUCAGAUUGUGAUUUCAAAUCCUCCUCAAAAUAAGCUGAGAUGAUGAAACUGCAGUGUAACCAAAUAAUAGUUCUUAACAACGAGUGUUCCUAGUCUGUUAUUCCCCCUGUGGGCUCAACAGGGUCUGGCUACACUGGCUCAGUUCCUUCCCAGGUCUUCCCCCAUCCAAGGAGGGCUCUGCCAUCCUCAGACAAGUGUCUUGGUGGUUUGUGAUGCAGCAUGGGGAGAUUGAGGAGAAGGAGAGAGGAGUUUGAAAGGACAGAGGUCACUUCAAUCAAUAGUAAAGGACAGAGAAGCAAAGAAGCACUCUCCACCUUGCAUGGUUGAGGAUCCAGAGAGACAGGGCAGAAUGGCAUGUUUGAGAAACUUCUGGGGCAGGAGAGUAAGAGGCUCUGGGGAGUCGUGGGGAUUUUGAAGAGGGGAAAGUUGCCUUGUAAAAUAUGCUAAAGAUAUUUAAAAAAUCUUUUUUCUUAAUGUUUAUUUUUAUUUCUUGAGAGAGAAAGACAGAGCAUGGGUGGGGGGAGGAGCAGAGAGAGAGGGAGACACAGAAUCCAAAGCAGGUUCAAGGCUCUGAGCUGUCAGCACAGAGCGCGAUGCGGGGCUCAAACUCAACGGACCAUGAGAUGAUGAUCUGAGCCGAAGUUGGAUGCUUAACGGAUUGAACCACCCAAGCGCCCCUAGGUAUUUUUGAGAACUGCAAUGCUUACUCUUACUGUGUGUCUGUGAAUGUGAUAUGUCUUCAGGACUGGGCCUCGGUGUCAGCAGGGAUGAUAGAUAGGUAAGCAAAGAUUUGGGACUGCUUGGCAAGAGAUCAUAUGUGAUUUUCUAUGGACUGGAGGCUAUGGCUCACAUUAUACCAGCAAAGAGAGAGAGGAGGGCUGAGCCUGAAAAUGAAGUUGGACCAGUAACUUUUACCAUUUCAUACCUCCGUGAAUUCUCCAUUUAAUGUUUAAUGCUUGUUGAAUAGAUUGAGAUGGUUCUCACUGUAUAUUAUUUACUGCUCAGAAAUAAUUCUUAUUUUCUUGACUAUCGUAUUUCUUUAGGGAGUUUAGCUGCCCUGAACUUCUACUCCCCAUUUUCUCCAAGCCCUGGACCAAUCCCUACCCUAUGCUCUUUACUCUCAGCACAAGGCUUUGCCCUCCUCUCCCUCCAAGUAAAAACACCCUGUAUCUUUACCUCCUUUAUCUUUGAACUCCUAGGAGUGAGUGUUUUGCCUUUUAGCUAAGACUGAUUCUUGAAUAGUAUUAUCCAACCCACUUCUACCUUUUCCAGGACUUGAUUCUAUCCAUUAUUUUUUAGAUUGGUUCUUUCUCAUUUCCUGGAAAAAUGAGCUCAGAUUUACCCUCUCCUACAACAAAAACAAAACAACCAAAAAAGUUCCUCUUCCCUGCUGUCAUUUAUCCCUGCUCUUCUUUUGGCCAAAUUUUGAGAGCAGCAUAAAUCCACAACCUCUAGUUUUUCACCUCUUGCUCACACCUGAAUCCCUAAAACCAGGCUUCUGCCUUCUCUACUCUAUUUACCUGCCUCUCAAAAGAUUAGCAAAUAACUUCUUGUUUUGUUUCCCAUUUACUCCCACCAUCCUUGCCCCCUAGGCGCAUGUCUAAAAGCUUAUGAACAUGAUGGGGGUAUUGUUAAUUACUUACCUUUAUAACCCCUCAACACCCAGCAUUAUGCUUUGCAUGUGGUAGAGACUCCCAGAGUAUGUGAAUUGCAUCUGAAUUUCUUCAACCUUCCUCAUGGUCCCCAUGGCUCCUGAUAUUCUACCACAUUAGGAACCUAGCAAUGGUUUCAGAUGCUAUCGCUGGUAUCAGGGCAUGUAGCUUUCUCUCAUGGGUUUAGAGAAUUAGAAAACAUCUCAUCCUCCGUUGUUGACAACCAAAUUAUUUUAAACUCUUGUUUACCAGAAAGUAUGGUGAAGAUUGUGUUAUUUUUAUUUUGCUGCUAACAUACACAAAACCAAAAAUAAAUACCCAACAUGAAAUGUAUAUCAUGAUGAUCAAUAGUAAUGAACAACAGUUCACAAAUGGAGAAUUCAAGACAAACUAAAAAAAAAAAAAUAGGGGCACCUGGUUGGCUCAGUCGGUUAAGCAUCUGACUUCAGCUCAGGUCACUAUCUCGUGGUUCGUGAGUUUGAGCCCCGCAUUGGGCUCUGUGCUGACAGCUCAGAGCCUGGAGCCUGCUACGGAUUCUGUGUCUCCCUCUCUCUCUCUGUCCCUGCCCUGCUCACACUCUGUCUGUCUCUCAAAAGUGAGUAAAUGUUAAAAAAAUAUAUAUUAAAGAGAAAAAAAGACAAACUGACUUGCCAAACUUAUCAAGUGGCCUCCCAUUGACCCAAACAUAAACCACGUUGUAAUACAGUACCUUGUUCUAUUCAAUAAGCUAUAUUUCUUGAGACUCUUCCCCAGGAAGUUCUACAGGUGGCUGAGACACGACAAAUACUAAAACAUAACCAGGAAUUGAGCCAGUCACUACUAAUGUGUGGUUAUGACAACUUUAAUAAAUACGUAUGAUUUUUUUUUCUGUAGAGGGUACAAGAACACACUCUUGUUUGAAAUCCAAAUGCAUAAAGAUAAUCAAUGGGAUGUAAGAACUCUUUUUUACUUCUACAUUUCCCUUAGGUGUCUUUUUUUUUUUUUUAAGUUUUUUUGAAAGAGAGAGAGUGUGAAGGGGAGGGGCAGAGGGAGAGAGGGAGAGAAGGAGAGAGAGAAUCCCAAACAGGUUCCAUGUUGUCAGCACUGACAGCAUGAAGCCUGACAUGAGGCUCCAUCCCACGAAGCGUGAGAUCAUGACCUGAGCCGAAAUCAAAAGUUGGACACUUCACCAACCGAGCCACCCAGGUGCCCCUCCUUUGGUGUCUUAUAUUGCUACAGAAUUUUACUAACAGGACGUGGAGGCCUUUUCUCCCAUCUCUCACAAACUCCUCUAUUUCACUGAGAUCCUUUAGGAGUAGUGAGGACCAGCACAAGUGUCACAUGACCUCUUCACACAUGCUCAUACCAGAGGUACCCUGCCACUUGUCUACACUACCCUGCCCAGCUUAUUACAAGCCAUGCAAAAUGCCCAAGAAAGCCAGCCAUAGGGGCUUGUUACAGUUGUUUGCUUGCAGUGUUCCUUUAGAGUGGGUGUAUCCACCAAAAAUGUAAAGAAUCCAUGAGUUUCUGCGUGGCAUUCUAGUGCUAAAUCAAAAUCCACCCUCUUUGUCACUGGUUCAACAGUUCAGGUCAACAAACACUCCUGGAGCACUUAUCCUGUGACAGGCAUCAUGCUAAGGCCUUCAAGGAGCCAGAGUCCAGUGGGAAUAGAGAUUUGUAAACACAGAUUCCAAUAUAAUAUUGGCAGUGGUUUGGAAAAAUCAAAUCACAGGGAUAAAAAAAAAAAAGAAUGAACUAUGCUUUGGGCAAUUCUACAUUUUAAGAUAAAAUUUAAAAAUUACAUUAAAUUACUUAGAUUUAAUUAAAAACAAGUUUUAUCUUAAAAUGUAGAAUUGCCCAAAUUUAAAACUCAAAAUUUAAGGUUUUAGAGAUCCUUUAGAUGUUAACAAAAUAAAUAAAUAAGAACAAAGUAAAACAACAACAACAACAACAACAACAAUGACAAGUCUAGUCACAGAACAGAUUCCUUUCAAAAUAAAGAUCUUCAAAGGCAUUAAAUGUUUUUAUUCAACAGUAGUAGGGGACAAGGAGAUAUUAGAGAAUCUCACUACCACUAGCAAAUUUAUCUUUUGGUUAUGCUAAGAAGUUACCAGAUGGUGGGUGAUCCAGUAUCACUGUCCUGUGACACUGUUUUAGGGAAGGGAAUCUUUUUAUUACAGUCGUGUUUUCUUUUUUCUUUUUUAAAGGCCCUCUUUUUCUAGAUAAAUCGCAUUUUAUUUCAGCCCCUUCAUAUAACCUGUAAAUAGUCUUUACAUUAACGCCUCUGUAAUCUGUCAAAUAAUACUCUGCAGUCUUAGAAAUAUAAAUAGAUGAGCAUUUUACUCUCAUGGAACACUUUAUUCAGCUGGCUUCACUACAACUCUAUGACCCAAGUUGUUCAGUGAGUACUCUAAGACCAUACUGAACACAUAUAAAGGAGGCAGACUUUUAGGGCCAAAUGUUUUCCUUCAUGUACCUCUAAUUCUGUGGCUAUAGAACCAUCUUAUGUCAAAAAAAAAAAAACACCCUCCAUAUGUGUUAAUAUUAGUUUUCUGACAAAAAUAUCUGUAAAAGAUACAGGCUUGGGAAAAACCUUCAAAAUUUUGACUCUCAAUGGCUAUUCUGAAAAUGAAAUACAGUCCUCUGAAUUUAUCAUACCUAGGACAUAUAGAAGAUUGUUAGAUAAUAAGGGGAUGUUUUCUUGCCACCUAUGAAAUAAAUUGUUGGUGCUUGUGAAGCUACAAGGCAUACAGCUCAGUAGGCCAUCCAGGAGUUUGAACACUAAGGUCGUAACUGGGGAUAAUAUGUAGGACUGCCAUCACAUCUGAGAGGUUUUAUGUUUUGUUUUUAUCACAUCACCUCAACAGACACUAAGGAAACAGAAGCAAACUCUGGGAUGACUGUGAGUUUUAAAGCUGAAAGAGGGGUACCUGGGUGAGCGUCUGACUUCAGCUCAGGUCGUGAUCUCACAGUUUGUGGGUUAGAGCCCUGCGUAGGGCUUUGUGCUGACAGCUCAGCCUGGAGCCUGCUUCAGAUUCUGUGUCUCCCUCUCUCUCUGCCCCUCCCCCAUUUACCCUCUGUCUCUCUCUGUGUCUCAAAAAUAAAUAAAUGCUAGAAAAAAAUUUAGAGCUGCAAGAAAAGAGUUUAAAUUCACAACCAGCUAUGUUACUUGAUUUUAAGAGAAGAGAUGAUUUGCCACAUCUAUCAUAAUAUCAAAGUAUUAUGCAACUAAAACAGUUAUGAGUUAAGAAUAUGGACCCCUGCAAAUGACUUAUUUUAAGUAAUAAUGACAUUUAUAGACAUUUUCACAUAUGCAUCUCUUGGGAAAUGAAACUUUCAGAUACAAAGAAAAGAUGUCUUUAACCUUUCCUGUUCCUGAUCCUAUCAUAAAAUAGAGAUAAAGACAUUUUGGAAAGAGUUCUUUGAACAUUACAACAGUAGCUAGGAGAAUAGGAAAAAUAUACACGAGAAAAAAAUGAACGCCUGAGAAAAGGACUGGAGGUCCUCAUCUUCAGCUGCAGAGGUGAUGUAGAAGUUGUAGAAGGUGGGGUAGCAUGGUGUAGAAGACAGAGACGAGCUCAUCAUUAUUUCUAAGGAGUGGAGAAGUGGGUUUCCACUGCGUCGUAAGGGACUCAGCCUAGAUAUUAGGACUACGAUCCCAAUAGGAAUAGCCAUUAACGUAAAAUGGCUUGUUAAAGGAGAUAAUGAAAUCUCCUUCUCAAAAUAUCAAUUAAAUGAAGAUAAUUCUUCAUCCUUCUGAGAUAGUUUAGAUAUAGUCUAUCUAAAGGACAGGGAUGGGCAGGCUUGUUUUCCAAAGCAGCUUUCAAUUUUCUAAUUACACAGUAUUGAAUCCAAAAUGGUUACCCUACUUUUAGAGCUAGAAAGUCGCUGAAUUUAAAGUUUUUCAGAGAGUAGUAAGUUUAGAGACCAUCUAGUUUCUGAACCCUGAGGGGCGUAAGUGCAGUGGAGAGAUGAGCAAACUAUGACCCAUGGGCCAAAUUCGGCCCCACCCUUUGUUUUUGUAGGGCCUGCAAGCUUAGAGCAUUUUUUGUUUUUGUUUUUGUUUUGUUUUGUUUUACAUUUUCUUUUAAUGGCUGGGGGAAAUCAGAAUAGUAUUUCAUGACAGGUGAAAAUUAUAUGGAAUUCAAAUUUCAGUGUCUCUAAAAAAAGUUUUAGUGGAAUACAGCCACAUUCAUUCAUCCACAUAUUAUCUACGGCACUUUUGCCCUAUACCGGUACAGCUGUCACUCUAGAGGCUGAAAAUCCCAAGAUGCCAUAUGGUACUUUACAGAAGAAGUUUGCUGGCCCCCUGGUGCAGUGGAUGAAGCACAUAAAGUCUAAAGCCAGACUACCUGGGAGUGAUCCUGGAAAAGGUGGCAUGCCUCCGUCUCCUGAUCCGUAAACUGGGGGCAAUAAUGGUACUUACCUGACGGGGUUGUUGUGAGAAUAAAUGAAGGUGCUUAAAACACAAGGGCCUGGUAUAAAGCAAGAAUUCAGCUAAGUGUUCAGUGUUCUUACUAUUACACAUGAAGAAACUGGCCCACGGCAAACUUCUUGAUUCUCCUUGCCUAGGUUGUCUUUUUUACUUUCUACAUUGCCUGACAAAGAAAAACGUUCUUCUGAAGUUUUGGUUUCUGUUUUUAAACUACCUGAAGGCCACUGUGAAUGAGAACUUCAGUUUCAUCAGCCUGGUCUCCUAUCAAUUCUGGGACCUACAGUCACCCAAAGGCAACUUGUGGAACAUUUGUGAUUUUCAGGUCUUUACCUCAAACUUCUAGAAAUCAAGAUUUUCUUUAUGCCUUCCACAAAAAGGACAAUCCAAAUCCCCUACAACUCAAAACUGAUGAGUCUGGCUUUUUUCCCAAUAUUUACUGCAAAAACUUCAGAAACCAAGAACUGAGGCGUGCAUACAGACAUCAAGAUCUGAAGGAUAGCAGAUUAUUCCAUGUGCAUUCAAGGGUAUUUAUUAUUCUCGGCAAAACAUAACCCAUUUUCUCUGGUCUCUUUUCUUCCUUAUCAACCCUUGCACGUUACCAACACCACCCCAGGUUUUGCUGACUCUACAACACCUGUUAAACCUAGCAGGAUGCCCUGGACAACCACCCUUUUUGAAGAUUUGUUCACAAGGAGUCUUUCUUCAUUAACUCCGUUCCCAAAUGGUCACUCCAUUAUAUCAUGUUCCCUUGUCAGGUGGUAUACAAUUUUAAACAAUUAUACAUCUGGCAUUGCUGUCUAACUCUGCUCCACUUUUUCUCUUUCUAUAUAAUACACCCUAUCUUGCAACAAAACUGGAAUUCCUUAGGGCCAGGCACAUAUCAUUUUUUUUGGUAUCACCUCACAGUACUUCUUUGAAGUUUUUUAUGUAGUAGGCAUUUGACAAAUGCUUCUUGCAUUAAUAAAUGAAUAGCCACAAACACCUCCCAUGAACAGAAUUUUUAACUUUAGAGAUGAAUAAAAUAACACUUUUACACUACCACCAAGAUGGUGGAGAUGAUAAUUUGUUAGUACAUGGGUUUAAAGAUCAAUCAUCAAAAUUAAAACAAAUCAGAAGUGUACAAGCACCUUAAUUAAAAUGGAGACUGCAACCCACAAAAGAAAGAUUAACUCUAGAUCCUUAAUCCUUUUCAGAUACAUUAGCUCUAUGACACUGGAAAAUGUUAGAUCUCAUGUGGAUACGGUGGCCACUGGUAAAACCUUAUCUAAGUAUUUUUUUAAAUCCAGCCAUAAAGGAUUAUGUUGGAAUCCCGCACUGGUAUAAUUCUCAUCUGCAUGUAUAAUAUACCGAUAGCAACAUUACUUAAUAUAUGAGUAUGUGAAGUAUAUUUUAUUAUAACAGUAGACAAGCAAACUGAAUGUGUCCCAGGAAGGGGUCUUUUCCAUUAACUUUUAUAAAGGCUUUCAUUUCAAACUUUCAUUAACAUCUGACAAGCAAGCUGAAAAAGCUUUGCUUAGAGCUUGGGUUAGGGGCAAAAUGCAUUUUGGCAAAACUAUUCCAAGAUUACACUGACUGGGUGUGCGAGAAUAUACUAAUUUGUUUUGUUUUGUUUUGUUUUGUUUGGAGUGUGGAGAAAAGAGAGAGAAAGGGAGAGAAGGAGUCAUGGACCCUACUUUAUGGUUGCCAUGGAGGCAAGGUCAGCCUUCCACACUUGGAUCUACCAGCAGAGUUCAGACAGGUCAACGUGUGACCGGCUCAGGCCCUGGGGUUAAAAGUUCAAGCAGCGAUGGAAAAACCAAUAUGUCCACGCAGAGUAUGCUGUGCAAUUUAUUUCAAUUUACAUCAAGCCAUGCAUAUAAAAUUUAGAUAAAUUCCAUUCAAAUCUGAUGUUGCCUGACACACAAUGUAUGCAAACAGAUGUCUGUGGGGCUUUUUCUGUGCUUUGGAAAACAACAUUAAAUUUAAAAAUAUGUCUCUGGGAUUUCUUUAUUGAAUUACAAAAUGAACAUAAUUUUAACUUAAAUGUUUUCAUUCUUUCUUCCAAUUUUUUUUGUGGGGUUCUUAAUAAUUUCUCGGUUCUCAAUCUACUCUGUGUCAUAUUAAAGAGGAUAAUGUAUAUUUACAA